UUUUCAAUUUUAUACCAUUUGAAAUGGUUUUUAAUAUUCAACCAAAAGGGAAUUUAUUUUGCAUUUGACAUUCGAUUUCUAAAAUUAGUACUACUUGUUCAAAGAACCGUCAAAUUUAGAAAAAAAGCGUAUAGCGAAAUCGUGUAUAUCGAGUAUGGCGUAUAUCGGGGAAUACCUGUAUAGCCACACGAGGAAGGCGCUGCUUCGCGUUCACAUGAAAAUGUGGUAGUGUGAAAUCAAGUUUGCAAGCGGUAGGACGCGUCGGUGUGUGUCCGUUUUUUCUCUCGUGAAACCAGUACGGAAAAACUAUUUGAAAUCGUAACACACGCACGAACGGAAGUGAGCACGGACCACAACAGAAGCAAUAUUCAAUUGGUUGGAGUGCCGAAAACAGAACAGGAGAGGAAAGAAGGCAGGAACGAUCCGAUCCUCCAACGUGCUAGCGCCUGGUAGAGGAGAAGCGGCAGGAAGGUAGAGACGAACAUCCAGCGCGCUAGCGCAGCAUGUGGGAGCAGCGAGAGGGAGGCAAGCAGGAAGAAUUUUUAACGUGUGGACACAAUUCGACGAAGACAACGCUGGAUUAUAGGAAGAACGAGGAGAGAAGGCAGGCAAGACGGGUACGUGUGUAUCCCGCACCGGUUUUCGGCAGUGUGAAUUGUGUGAGUAUUGAAAAGUGUAUGUGUGAGUAGAGGUAAAGAGGUGAAAUAAAGAGCGAAUGUGUGGAAUGGAAAAAUUAGAGAGAGUCUGUGUUUGUUUUGGGAGAGAGGAGAGAAUGAAAGAAAUUGAACAAUAAUGUAGCAUACAGAAACUACAUGUAUGAUACACGCUGUCGCACCGUUGCAGAAAC